rnacentral:rRNA from 1 species
UACGGAGGAUCCGAGCGUUAUCCGGAUUUAUUGGGUUUAAAGGGUGCGUAGGCGGUUUGAUAAGUUAGAGGUGAAAUGUCGGGGCUCAACCCCGAAACUGCCUCUAAUACUGUUGGACUAGAGAAUAGUUGCGGUAAGCGGAAUGUAUGGUGUAGCGGUGAAAUGCUUAGAGAUCAUACAGAACACCGAUUGCGAAGGCAGCUUACCAAACUAUAUCUGACGUUGAGGCACGAAAGCGUGGGUAGCAAACAGG